rnacentral:rRNA from 1 species
UACGAAGGGGGCUAGCGUUGUUCGGAUUUACUGGGCGUAAAGCGCACGUAGGCGGAUCGUUAAGUCGGGGGUGAAAUCCUGGAGCUCAACUCCAGAACUGCCUUCGAUACUGGCGAUCUUGAGUCCGGAAGAGGUGAGUGGAACUCCUAGUGUAGAGGUGGAAUUCGUAGAUAUUGAUGGGACAACCAAAGGCGAAGGCAGCUAUCGCGGACAUAACUGACGCUGACGUGCGAAGGUGUGGGGAGCAAAUGGG